CUGCUGCUAAAACUUCCACUACAGAUGCAAGAAAAGGAUGUCUUCACACUAUCUGUCUGGUUGUGGCAGCCAAGAUUGAAUAGGAGAAUACAGGA
rnacentral:snoRNA from 1 species